rnacentral:rRNA from 1 species
UACGUAGGGUGCAAGCGUUAAUCGGAAUUACUGGGCGUAAAGCGUGCGCAGGCGGUGAUGUAAGACAGGUGUGAAAUCCCCGGGCUCAACCUGGGAACUGCAUCUGUGACUGUAUAGCUAGAGUACGGUAGAGGGGGAUGGAAUUCCGCGUGUAGCAGUGAAAUGCGUAGAUAUGCGGAGGAACACCGAUGGCGAAGGCAAUCCCCUGGACCUGUACUGACGCUCAUGCACGAAAGCGUGGGGAGCAAACAGG